GCCCUGAUAGUAUAAUUAAUUACUUUGGUCUUGUAAACCAAAAAUGAAGAAAAAAAUCUUCUCAGAGCA
rnacentral:tRNA from 1 species